rnacentral:rRNA from 1 species
UACGUAGGGGGCCAGCGUUGUUCGGAAUUACUGGGCGUAAAGGGUUCGUAGGCGGUGUGGCAAGUCGGGAGUGAAAUCUCUGGGCUCAACUCAGAGACUGCUUCCGAAACUGCUGUGCUGGAGUGUGGGAGAGGCGCGUGGAAUUGCAGGUGUAGCGGUGAAAUGCGUAGAUAUCUGCAGGAACACCCGUGGCGAAAGCGGCGCGCUGGACCGCUACUGACGCUGAGGAACGAAAGCUAGGGGAGCAAACAGG